CUACGUAGGGGGCGAGCGUUGUCCGGAAUGAUUGGGCGUAAAGGGCGCGUAGGCGGCUUUGCAAGUCAGUAGUGGAAGUCCAUUUUUCAAGGAUGGAAGUGCUACAGAAACUGCGGAGCUUGAGUGCAGGAGAGGUUAUCGGAAUUCCCGGUGUAGCGGAGAAAUGCGUAGAGAUCGGGAGGAACACCAGUGGCGAAGGCGGGUAACUGGACUGCAACUGACGCUGAGGCGCGAAAGUGUGGGGAGCAAACAGGAUUAGAUACCCUGGUAGUCCACACUGUAAACGAUGAAUGCUAGGUGUAGGAGGUAUCGACCCCUUCUGUGCCGCAGUAAACACAGUAAGCAUUCCGCCUGGGGAGUACGGUCGCAAGAUUAAAACUCAAAUGAAUUGGCGGGG
rnacentral:rRNA from 1 species